rnacentral:lncRNA from 1 species
UGGGCCAUGUCUUGAUCUAAAGUUAUUUGUAUCUUCAGGGUGUGCUCUUGCCAUAUCAUGUGUAUAUCACUUUAAUUUCAAGAUGGAGUACUUCAGUGCACUCCCAACAUUAUGACUUACUUGGUCACAUGACACCCAGUUCAUGAUGAACAGCUCCAGUCACAUGGUAACUUGGUGGCCCAUGGUCAAAUAUUCAGUCUCUGGUAGGCCCCGUAGCAGGCCAAGUGAUGUUUCUCAAAAGUAGAUUAGACAUCUGCAGGUGAUAACAAGACCAUGCUCUAACAUCUUAAAACCCUGUCCUCUGCUUUCCAUAUUGGGACUGCCAAAGGCCCCAAAGAAAAUUUCUAUCUGCCUAUGAAACAUCUAAAAGAUUGAGUCCACCACAAUAUAUGGCCCAAGUGGCAGAGCAGCUUGCACAGCUGUCUGGAAUUGUUGCGGUGCCUUCUCUCAUUCUGUAUCCUUUUCAAAAUGAUCAGCUUUGGGAUGGCCCCGUGGCUGAGCGGUUAAGUUCACGCACUCCACUUCGGGGGCCCAGGGUUUCGCCGGUUCAGAUCCUGGGCAGGGACAUGGCACUGGGCCUACUGUGAGAUGAAACUGAGCUAAAAUUCCGUUAAUUAUCUGACUCUCAAAAGUCCCUAUUCUGACUGGAUGGGCACAGUGAUAUUUUGGUCUCCUUGGAACCAAAAACAUUGAGAACCAAAACUUUUCUUUUCCUGAAGUUCUACAAGUUGAAGCUGGAUGAUUUGAUAUAAACCUCAAGGCAAUCACCAUAGCAGAUCAUGUAUAGACAAAAUUUGCACCUGUGCUGUGUGGGUCACUCAGAAAGUUCACUGGAAGAGCUGAUGCCAUUACCACAGAUACUCAAACUGCAAACCAGGAAUCAAUUGGAUUGCCACUGCUGUCCUCACUCCAUCAUCUACUGAUGCAUUGAGACUAAUGUCUAGGAAUCUUCUCUAAAGCUGCACUCUGGAAUCAGAAACUUUUUUUUCAUAUUAACCUUUGUUUUUCUGUUAUUUUCAUAG